UUUUGCUUCUCCACAUGGGUUCCGGAAUCGAAGAAGGAGUUGAGAGGGAUCUGGAGAAGGGUUUGGGAAAGGUUUGUCUUUCAGAAUUAUCAUCAUUUCCUUCUCCGGCUCCGUCACCGGCGUCAACGCCAAGGUCGAAUCUGGUGCUAUCCAAUUCCGGCAAGGCUCUGCUUGUAUCCAAUUCUCACAAGUCUCUAGUUCUUUCUAAUUCCGGUAAGCGCUUCGAUAAAAAGAAGUACGUGAAGCAGGUGACUGGCCGUCACAAUGACACCGAGCUGCACCUCGCUGCACAACGUGGAGAUUUGGCCGCCGUGAAGCAAAUUCUCGGGGAAAUUGACGCCCAGAUGAUGGGGACGCUGAGCGGAGCUGAUUUUGAUGCUGAGGUGGCGGAGAUAAGGUCUGCGGUGGUGAAUGAGGUGAACGAGUUGGGAGAAACAGCGCUGUUCACGGCGGCUGAGAAAGGGCAUUUGGAGGUUGUGAAGGAGCUGUUGCCGUAUACGACUAAGGAGGCCCUUUCAUUAAAGAGUCGAUCUGGGUUUGAUCCUCUCCAUGUUGCUGCAAGCCAAGGUCAUCAAGUCAUCGUCCAGGUACUAUUAGAGCAUGACCCCUCGCUAAGCAAAACUGUUGGCCAAUCAAAUGCAACUCCUCUUAUAUCUGCAGCUACAAGAGGGCAUACAGCAGUAGUUCACGAAUUGCUGUCAAAAGAUUCAAGUUUGCUAGAGAUAGCAAGAUCCAAUGGAAAAAAUGCAUUACAUCUGGCUGCUCGCCAAGGGCAUGUAGAUAUUGUUAAGGCAUUGCUCAACAAGGACCCACAAUUGGCUCGUAGGACUGACAAGAAGGGGCAGACUGCAUUGCAUAUGGCUGUCAAAGGGGUGAGCUGUGCAGUGGUAAAGCUGCUUCUUCAGGCAGAUGCAGCUAUUGUCAUGCUACCAGACAGGUUUGGCAAUACGGCAUUACAUGUAGCCACAAGAAAAAAGCGGGCAGAGAUAGUGAAUGAACUGUUGCUUCUUCGUGACACGAAUGUCAAUGCACUAACAAGGGACCAUAAAACAGCUCUUGAUAUAGCUGAGGGACUCCCCCUCUCCGAAGAAAUCUCUGAGAUAAGAGAUUGUUUGACUCGUUAUGGUGCAGUCAAAGCAAAUGAACUUAACCAGCCGCGAGAUGAGCUUCGGAAAACUGUAACACAGAUAAAGAAAGAUGUGCACUCUCAGCUUGAACAAACCCGAAAAACCAACAGAAAUGUUAGUGGGAUUGCUAAGGAUCUCCGUAGGCUCCAUAGAGAAGGAAUCAACAAUGCUACUAACUCAGUCACAGUGGUCGCUGUACUUUUUGCAACAGUUGCAUUUGCUGCUAUUUUCACAGUUCCUGGUGGUGAUGAUAACAAUGGAAUGGCUGUGAUGGUGAGAAGUGCAUCAUUUAAGAUAUUCUUCGUCUUUAAUGCUAUUGCUCUCUUCACAUCCCUGGCUGUUGUGGUGGUACAAAUCACAAUUGUAAGAGGGGAGACAAAAUCAGAAAGGCGGGUUGUAGAAGUGAUCAAUAAGUUAAUGUGGUUGGCCUCUGUUUGCACUUCUGUGGCAUUUAUUUCAUCAUCUUAUAUAGUGGUUGGUCGGCAUCACCAGUGGGCUGCAAUUCUUGUUACUGUUAUCGGAGGAGUCAUAAUGGCAGGAGUUCUUGGUGCAAUGACUUACUAUGUAAUGAAGUCAAGAAGGAAACGUAAAGUGAGGAAGAAAGAGAAGCACUCUAGAAGUGCAGGAAACAGCUCGUGGUAUGUGUCUGAGUCCGAGUCAGAAGUGAAAUCAAUUUAUGCUCUCUGAUGUCAACCCCAUCUCUUUUUGAAUUUUAUAUGACAAAAAGGAAAUUAUACAGAAAGUGAGAACAGUUUAUGUUUGUAAAGAUGAUUUGAUGUGCAUGCAACAUUGUUAAAUAUGCAAGCAGAAGGUGGAGUGAAUGGAUAUGUUGCAAUUGAACCCAAAUUUCUGUUACUCAUCUUCAUGCACAUCAAAUGAAAAUUUG
rnacentral:misc_RNA from 1 species